rnacentral:piRNA from 1 species
UCUUAUUGUGAAAUUGGUAGG